rnacentral:lncRNA from 1 species
UGCUUUCAGAAAUAUUAGGUGGCAAGGCACCAUCUUCCAUGGUUGGUAUUUAAUAAUUGGAUUCAUUCACAUCUAUGUAUCUAUGGAUUCGUGAAAAAACAUGAGGAGAAAAUUAGGACCUGAAGCAGAGAAGCAGCUUGAAUAUGAAGAGCAAGAAGAGCAGCUUCCAUGGAGGAUUGCUUUUCAUCAUCUUCCAGAAACUGAUCACUCGCGCUCCAAACAUCAUCAAUGACGAAUUAUUUCCAACUGUAAUUACAACUUAACGAUUUGGCAAUACUCAGAAUAGAAAUCAAAGAUUCCAACAAAAAAAAAAGUCUGGCGAGAAAAUAAAUGUGAGAAUGUAUAGAGAGAGAAGAGAAGGUGUUGUAGAAAUAGAGAAGAGAGAAAGAAAGGUGAUGUACAAGAGAAAGAUGAGAGAUAGAGAAGAGAGAGAAGAGAAAGAGAGAUGAGAGAGAGAGAGAAAGGUGCAAAGGUGCGUACCAGAGAGAGAGNAAAGAGAGAGAGAGAGAGAGAGAAGAGAAAGAGAGAUGAGAGAGAGAUAAAGGUGCGUACCAGAGAGAGAGAAUGAGGAGAGAGAGAAAGAGAGAGCGUGCAACCGAGAGGAGAGAGAGUGAUGCACAACACAUAUGAUACACAUCACCCUCAAACAAAAACAAGCAAUCAAACAAGCAAUUAAUUCGUUGAUCAAAUAUGAUGCCAGAGAAUUGCACGGGGAAGGAAUCUCAAGGGGUUUUAUGUAUAAAAC